CGCCCCGCAAGGGGAGUGGCAGACGGGUGAGUAACGCGUGGGAAUCUACCGUACCCUACGGAAUAACGCAUGGAAACGUGUGCUAAUACCGUAUACGCCCUACGGGGGAAAGAUUUAUCGGGGUAUGAUGAGCCCGCGUUGGAUUAGCUAGUUGGUGGGGUAAAGGCCUACCAAGGCGACGAUCCAUAGCUGGUCUGAGAGGAUGAUCAGCCACAUUGGGACUGAGACACGGCCCAAACUCCUACGGGAGGCAGCAGUGGGGAAUAUUGGACAAUGGGCGCAAGCCUGAUCCAGCCAUGCCGCGUGAGUGAUGAAGGCCCUAGGGUUGUAAAGCUCUUUCACCGAUGAAGAUAAUGACGGUAGUCGGAGAAGAAGCCCCGGCUAACUUCGUGCCAGCAGCCGCGGUAAU
rnacentral:rRNA from 1 species